GACGAACGCUGGCGGCGUGCUUAACACAUGCAAGUCGAACGGAAAGGCCCUGCUUUUGUGGGGUGCUCGAGUGGCGAACGCGUGAGUAACACGUGAGUAACCUGCCCUUGACUUUGGAAUAACUUCAGGAAACUGGGGCUAAUACCGGAUAGGAGCUCCUGCUGCAUGGUGGGGGUUGGAAAGUUUCGGCGGUUGGGGAUGGACUCGCGGCUUAUCAGCUUGUUGGUGGGGUAGUGGCUUACCAAGGCUUUGACGGGUAGCCGGCCUGAGAGGGUGACCGGCCACAUUGGGACUGAGAUACGCCCCAGACUCCUACGGGAGGCAGCAGUGGGGAAUAUUGCACAAUGGGCGGAAGCCUGAUGCAGCAACGCCGCGUGCGGGAUGACGGCCUUCGGGUUGUAAACCGCUUUCGCCUGUGACGAAGCGUGAGUGACGGUAAUGGGUAAAGAAGCACCGGCUAACUACGUG
rnacentral:rRNA from 1 species